rnacentral:miRNA from 1 species
CAGCCCUGCUGUCUUAACCUCU